rnacentral:rRNA from 1 species
GACGAACGCUGGCGGCGUGCUUAACACAUGCAAGUCGAACGGGCCUGUCUUCUUUUUUGGGGGUGGGUUGAGUGGCGAACGGGUGAGUAUCACGUGAGUAACCUGCCCUUCGGUCCUGGAUAACCGCUUGAAAGGGCGGCUAAUACGGGGUGGUCCGGUUGGUCCGCAUGGGCUGGUCGGGAUAGAUUCACUGUUUUUGGUGUUUCGGCGGGGGAUGGGCUCGCGGCCUAUCAGCUUGUUGGUGGGGUGAUGGCCUACCAAGGCGGGGACGGGUAGCCGGCCUGAGAGGGUGGGCGGCCACACUGGGACUGAGAUACGGCCCAGACUCCUGCGGGAGGCAGCAGUGGGGGGUAUUGCACAAUGGGCGGAAGCCUGAUGCAGCGACGUCGCGUGAGGGAUGGAGGCCUUCGGGUUGUGAACCUCUGUUUCCGGUGGUGAAGGCCCUGUCCGUGUGGUGGGGUUGACGGUAGCCGGGGAUGAAGCGCCGGCUAACUACGUG